AUUGAACGCUGGCGGCAGGCCUAACACAUGCAAGUCGAGCGGUAGAGAGGUGCUUGCAUCUCUUGAGAGCGGCGGACGGGUGAGUAAUGCCUAGGAAUCUGCCUAGUGGUGGGGGAUAACGUUCGGAAACGGACGCUAAUACCGCAUACGUCCUACGGGAGAAAGCGGGGGAUCUUCGGACCUCGCGCCAUUAGAUGAGCCUAGGUCGGAUUAGCUAGUUGGUGAGGUAAUGGCUCACCAAGGCGACGAUCCCUAGCUGGUUUGAGAGGAUGAUCAGCCACACUGGAACUGAGACACGGUCCAGACUCCUACGGGAGGCAGCAGUGGGGAAUAUUGGACAAUGGGCGCAAGCCUGAUCCAGCCAUGCCGCGUGUGUGAAGAA
rnacentral:rRNA from 1 species